CCACCUCACCGCUACUCACCUACCGCCACAGCCCCACUCAAUAUACACACAAACACACCCACACAUAGCAGCAAUCAAGAGAGAAAAGAAAGGGGAAAAAUGAAAUCCGGGAAAGGAGAGGAAGAGAGGACUGAGGGAGAAGUGACUUGCGCUGCAGAGGAGAAGAGGAGAGGAAGAAAAGGGAGAUCGAGCCGUCGCGCCUACUGCCGUCCAUCUCGCGUCACUGCCGUUUCAUCGAGAUGCUUCGGGCGCCGCCCUAUCCUGGAGCCCGAGUCCGCAUCGCUAUCAUUCCUCCGCGUUUUGCCGAGCCACCGUGGACAAGGAACCCCGCGCGAAAGAGAGUUGUCAAAGGAGAAGCAGAUCGGGCGGAAGAGGGAGGCAUGGUUGCCUGUGUCGCCGCCUUGCUUCCAUCACCGCUGGAGCUUUGUUGUUGCUGCCUUUGGUUGCUGUGACUGCAGAGGUCGCUGGAGGAGGAGUGAGAGUCAGAGGAGAAAGAGAGUAAGCGAGAUCUGAGGAGAGAGAGAGUGACGCACAGAGGAGAGACCAUUCUUCUGCCGCCGCUGCCGCUAGUCGCUGCCAUCAUUAAUGGUGAGUCAAUUAAGCCCUAGCCAUGAGAACCACCAUCUCUGAACCCUUAUUGCUCUGUAAAAUACCCUGUAUUUGCCUCUGAUAUUCUUGUCUGUAUUGUGUUUGCUGGGGUUUGUCAUAAUUGGAGUCACUGGUGAAAGUGUUGCCGCUGCUGGAAGCUAAUGUCGGGCUGUUGCUGGUUCUGAUUCUAUUAUCUUGUGUCCUUGAUUUCAUUGGAAUUAUCACUGUUGCUGCGAAUUUAAAAUAAACAGAUUUAUCACGGUUAAUUCCUACGGAUUCGACUUUCCGUGCUUUACCUUUUCAGGAACCGGGUGAAGAAGCAUUAAGAAGAAUUAAACUGCGAUU